UAGAUGGGUAUCCCUACAUAGCGGGUGGGACCCACGGCGAAUGGUUCAUCAAGUCUUCAAAAAAGAAUAUAUACGAUUGCAUUGCAUAUACUAACGGAUGCGAUCAUACCAGCACUAAUGCACCGGAUCCCAUCAGAACUCCGCAGUUAAGCGUGCUUGGGCGAGAGUAGUACUAGGAUGGGUGACCUCCCGUAAAGUCCUCGUGUUGCAUCCCUCUUUUGU
rnacentral:rRNA from 1 species